CACUCCUGCGGGAGGCAGCAGUGGGGAAUUUUGGACAAUGGGCGAAAGCCUGAUCCAGCAAUGCCGCGUGAGUGAAGAAGGCCUUCGGGUUGUAAAGCUCUUUUGUCAGGGAAGAAACGGUGAAAGCUAAUAUCUUUUGCUAAUGACGGUACCUGAAGAAUAAGCACCGGCUAACUACGUGCCAGCAGCCGCGGUAAUACGUAGGGUGCAAGCGUUAAUCGGAAUUACUGGGCGUAAAGCGUGCGCAGGCGGUUUUGUAAGUCUGAUGUGAAAUCCCCGGGCUCAACCUGGGAAUUGCAUUGGAGACUGCAAGGCUAGAAUCUGGCAGAGGGGGGUAGAAUUCCACGGGUAGCAGGGAAAUGCGUAGAUAUGUGGAGGAACACCGAUGGCGAAGGCAGCCCCCUGGGUCAAGAUUGACGCUCAUGCACGAAAGCGUGGGGAGCAAACAGGAUUAGAUACCCCAGUAGUCCCAUGAU
rnacentral:rRNA from 1 species